CCUAAUUGCCCUAACCCUACAGCUGGUUCCAGAGAAACCAACAUGAUCGACUAGUACCGGGCCCAUGCACCUACUUUUUCUAUGUGCAGCCCUUUCUUUCUUUUUCUUUUCUUUCUCGUAAAGUAAACCUAAUCAUGUAUUUAAUUAUGACGUACCACCAACUCCAAUAUUUCCUGGGACCUAAUAAUACUUUUCAUUCAACGAGUAAAAGUACUCUCUCCCCUUUUGUUUCAUUUGGAGUAACGCGAUCCAAAUAAGAGAAGAACACCACCUGUAUAAGAGAUGAAGAUGAUCAUAUCAGAGUUUAUGCAUCACAAAGGAAGCUGGUAACUUUGAGGGGAAUGUUGUCUGGUACAAGACUACCUAAAUCGGUAAUUUCUUGGACCAGGCUUCAUUCCCCUCAAUUAUUGUUUCCAUCUAAUUUUCCGAACAUCUAUCUUCAUGUAAAUUAUUAGUUCACCAAUCCCGAUGCCCCGCAGAGAUGAUCGAAACCGGAUCCCAGAUGAUCGAUGGAUCUUCAGGUAUGAAAAAAGAAAGAAAAAAAAUCAAUCAUUUGCUUUUGACUUAUGAUUCAUGUCUUUCAACAUUAAGACUGUUUGUGAAUUUCUUUCAGUCUUUUCCUUCUUGUUCAUCAUUGAAUAGAUCUUUUGUCAUGAUGAGCACAACCCUAAAUUCCAAUCUGUGUACUUGUCUUUGGCCUUAGCUAGGGUUAAACUCCCUAGGGUUUUUAUUUUUUUUAUUUUUUAAGAUCAAUUGAAAUUAGUGUUUUCAUCUAUUGGAUAAUCUGGAUCCUUUACCCGAUUACAAAAUGAGUAACUGUUAAUUACUUUAGUUGUAGUGGUAGUGGGCGGCGGGUGGAGUUUGUAGAGCUGUAUUCACAACAUCAGUUCAGUAUAAGAUAAUAUUCAUCUCCAUUCUCCACCCUUCUCAGCAGCUUUACUAAUUAAUAUUCUACUGAUCUGACUAUAUUAUUUGUUCCACUGAAUAAUGUAUUGAUACAUGCUUUUAGUGGAAGACAUGGAUUCGAAUCUUAUUUGUAUCGUGGAUGAAAUUGCCGUGAAGAUAUAUCGGCACCGAUCAGAGUGCGUACAUACAUGCAUAUAUAUAUAUAUAUAUAUAUAUAUUCUGCAGUAUUGAUUCCUUUUAUUGUGAUCGGUUUCCUUUUGUAAAAGAGGUAUUUCUUUCAUCUUUUGAACAUAUAUUUCUUUACAAUGCAUGCCAUCUAUCCUUUUGAUGUU